rnacentral:lncRNA from 1 species
AAUCUGAGCCCUCCAAUUUAGCUCAUCCAACGGGGGUAAUUGAUUCUUUGAUUUUUGUUAAGGUUGUCCUAAAAACCUACGGAACCCUUCAAUCCAAACAGACCCCCUCCAUCUUAUCAUCUCCCCCAAAACAUAGAGACUAAGAACCCUAAGAGCCGCCACCCUUCCCACCGCUCCAAGCCUGGCAGCACCAACUUCAAACAACCUCAAAAUCACACCACAGAACUACCUUGACCCCGUCUUCCCAAAUCUUCGACCACCUUUCCUCAAAUUCGGCUAGAAUUCCUCAAAUAUUCAAUUCAAACAGGAAACCCUAGCGCCGUCACAGUUUCUCUGGUGGCGGUACCACUACCAAUCACCGCCAAACCAACACCAAUGGACCACCAAGUCUCCCUUAUCCCAAAUCCAUCAUCCUCUACCCUCGAAUCUCCCUCGAACCGCUCGAAUAUUGAAUCAAAGAAUUGAACCUUAAUUCCAAGGCUCAAACGACACGCUUGUUCAAGAUUUCAGAUUGUAAUGGAUUUUAUUCGUGUGUUUCCACAUAAAAACACACGAUUAACGUCUCCGGUCAAGAAAAAUCAAAAGUUAGUUAAAAUUUCCAAAUCUGUAUUUUCUGCCCAAGUUUGAGGUAUUGUUCCUCUUUUUCUUUCAUUUUUAUUAUUUUUCUUUUCCUUUUACAUAGUUCAAAUGCACAUAAAAAUUAUGUUACACCAUAUGUUUUUUCAUUCUUUUUCUUUGGCUCUAUUGUGCUAUUUGAUUGAUUUUAGAGAUGGUUUAGGAUUAAGUUAGUCAAUUAGUCCGUGUAUUCUUUCUUUAGUUUUGAUCUUUUCAUUUCAACAGUUCUGCUUUGGUCUUUUAAGAAAAUUUAGUUAGUCUGCUAAAAAUGGCCAUUUGGCCAAGAAUAAACUCAAUUCGAAAUUAAAAGCCCAAAAGAAAUUCAAUUUGGGUUGCAAACCCAUAUCAAACUGGGCCAUUUGGGUCAACUCGACCCAUUUGAUCUGCUGAAGUAAUUUUCAGAAGUUUUAAAGGGUAAUUUGGGUAGUUAACUUAGAGAAUCUCUGGAUAACUACCUUAGUAAGCUUCUUGGAAGCUGAAAAGCAGCCUUACUUUGGCAAGCAAGAUAAUAAUCUGAGGCUGUCUAAGCAAAAACAAAAAUUAAAAAAGGGCUUAAUUGCAAAACUAUGACCUAAUAGAUGCGCUACUUCCUUGCCUAUAAAGGCACAUUUUCCUUGCAUUUAAAGGGAGAUUUGGGGACAGACUUUAGAGCAUAUUUUUAAAGAGAUUUUAGAGAAAAAAAAGAGGAAAAAAUCCAAAAAAAAAAAAACUAAAGACGGCUGAUUUUUUACUGUUCGAUUGAACUUCCACGGUGAUUUUCUGAUUUUUCUCUAUUUUUGAAAACAAUAGUUACUCAUUCUAGGAUUUGAAAUGGAUUGAUUGGGUUCUGAAAAGUUUUUUUGGUUCAAGCUUGUUGAGGGUCACUAUUCCAUUGAAUUCCGAGUUGAUUUCAUUGUUCUAAUUGCUGAAUCUAGGUCGAUUUUUGUUGCUACUCAGCUGACCCAUCACUUUUUCUUUUCCUAUUUUAAUUUUCAGGUACAUACUUCUACCUUUAAUCUAAUGUAAAGCUUGGUUUGGAAUCAAAAAAUGGAAACAUGGAGUUUUGAGUAGUAGUUGUGUUCAUAGUUUAGUUUUUUGAAUAUGACUGAUUCAACAUCUUUUGGAUUGUUAAAUGUGUACUAAGUAAGGUUUUCUAAGUCUGCUGUAGCAUAGACUUGAAUCUUGCAUGCAGGAUGGGUUGAGGAUUCGGUGCCCUAGCUCCCGAGUCCAAUUUGCAUAAUGAGUUUCAAUGUUAGUGCACGUCUGCUUUCCUACAUCGAAGAUCUAGAUUUGUUUUUUCAUUUCCUUUAGAUCUAGUUUAACUUGAUUUCAGGUUUAGUUUAGUUUCUUUUUUAGAUUCUAAGUCUUGCAUCACAUGUUUUUAUCACACUACCUUUUAGAAUUCAAGUAAGACAUUUGGGUUCUUGAAGAACCACGAUGCAAACAAUGAAUUAUGGCUUGACAAGUUGCCAAAGUUGCUAAGUUAUGUGAGAUGCUCAUGAUUGUUGGCAAGAUCACAAGUAGAAUUCGAAUUUCAUGCAAUGGGUUGUCGGUUUAUCUUAAUUAAAAUGAAGGCAUGGAUUUGUGUUCUUGUCCAAUAUUCAGUUUCUCUUUUCAAAAAAAAGUAAUGAUCAUUUGGGGUAAUGUUGCAUGUCAUUCUGACCCAAUGUUAUGUGUUCUUAAGGACUCGAUAUGUCUUGCAUUUGUUUUUGUCAGGUUUAUGAAGAUCUAGGAUUUCCUGGGCCAAUAUUUAUUUUUAAGUAAAGAAGGCAUACGAGUCUAAAGCAGACUCAGGCCCAAUUACGUUAGAAAUUUAGGGAUUCGGCUUUAAUUGCUUUACUUAAAUAAUCAAUGAUUCGGAAAAAUGAAAUGUUAUUUUGAUCACGAGUUCCAUGUGAUUUCAGCUGAUGGAUAUCUAAUAUUGUUGGCUUGUGAACUUUGGGCCUCAAGCUAGGCCCAAGCGACGCCCUUUAUAUAAUUUUAUUUUAGACCAUAACAGA